rnacentral:lncRNA from 1 species
GUAAACAGGAAAUAAUCAAUUGUUGUGUUGAAGAAUUUAUGAAAUAAAUACAAUUUAAAACUUAAAUCGUUUCCUGUUCAAUAUUCAUUUUUUCAUUUUUGUUCUCUUUUUAAUUGAUUUUUUCCAAAAAUGUUUAUUACCGGCAAAUAAUGACCUUCAGAUUGCAGCAAGUGUUGUGAGAUUUUGUAAAAUCCUCAUCCCACCCUGUAUGCAGUUAGGUACUUCACUAUAAAAUUAUUUCCUGUCAAAAUAAUAUUAACCCUUAUCCACC